UUUCAGUGGGGGAUAACGUAGCGAAAGUUACGCUAAUACCGCAUAUUCUGUGAGCAGGAAAGCAGGGGAUCGCAAGACCUUGCGCUGAUUGAGCGGCCGAUAUCAGAUUAGCUAGUUGGUGAGGUAAAGGCUCACCAAGGCGACGAUCUGUAGCGGGUCUGAGAGGAUGAUCCGCCACACUGGAACUGAGACACGGUCCAGACUCCUACGGGAGGCAGCAGUGGGGAAUUUUGGACAAUGGGGGCAACCCUGAUCCAGCCAUGCCGCGUGAGUGAAGAAGGCCUUCGGGUUGUAAAGCUCUUUCGGCCGGGAAGAAAUCGCAUGGGUUAAUACCCUGUGCGGAUGACGGUACCGGCAUAAGAAGCACCGGCUAACUACGUGCCAGCAGCCGCGGUAAUACGUAGGGUGCGAGCGUUAAUCGGAAUUACUGGGCGUAAAGCGUGCGCAGGCGGUUUUGUAAGACAGGCGUGAAAUCCCCGGGCUCAACCUGGGAACUGCGCUUGUGACUGCAAGGCUAGAGUAUGGCAGAGGGGGGUGGAAUACCACGUGUAGCAGUGAAAUGCGUAGAGAUGUGGAGGAACACCAAUGGCGAAGGCAGCCCCCUGGGCCAAUACUGACGCUCAUGCACGAAAGCGUGGGUAGCAAACAGGAUUAGAUACCCUGGUAGUCCACGCCCUAAACGAUGUCAACUAGGUGUUGGGUGGGUAAAACCAUUUAGUACCGGAGCUAACGCGUGAAGUUGACCGCCUGGGGAGUACGGCCGCAAGGUUAAAACUCAAAGGAAUUGACGGGGACCCGCACAAGCGGUGGAUGAUGUGGAUUAAUUCGAUGCAACGCGAAAAACCUUACCUACCCUUGACAUGUCCAGGAGCCUGAAGAGAUUUGGGUGUGCCCGAAAGGGAACUGGAACACAGGUGCUGCAUGGCUGUCGUCAGCUCGUGUCGUGAGAUGUUGGGUUAAGUCCCGCAACGAGCGCAACCCUUGUCGUUAAUUGCCAUCAUUUAGUUGGGCACUUUAACGAGACUGCCGGUGACAAACCGGAGGAAGGUGGGGAUGACGUCAAGUCCUCAUGGCCCUUAUGGGUAGGGCUUCACACGUCAUACAAUGGUCGGUACAAAGGGUUGCCAACCCGUGAGGGGGAGCCAAUCCCAGAAAGCCGAUCGUAGUCCGGAUUGCAGGCUGCAACUCGCCUGCAUGAAGUCGGAAUCGCUAGUAAUCGUGGAUCAGCAUGUCACGGUGAAUACGUUCCCGGGUCUUGUACACACCGCCCGUCACACCAUGGGAGCGGGUUCCGCCAGAAGUAGGUAGCCUAACCGCAAGGGGGGCGCUUACCACGGCGGGGUUCGUGACUGGGGUGAAGUCGUAACAAGGUA
rnacentral:rRNA from 1 species